rnacentral:rRNA from 1 species
AUUGAACGCUGGCGGUAUGCUUAACACAUGCAAGUCGAACGGAAACGAUACUAGCUUGCUAGUAGGCGUCGAGUGGCGGACGGGUGAGUAACGCGUAGGAAUCUGCCUGAUAGUGGGGGAUAGCCCGGAGAAAUUCGGAUUAAUACCGCAUAAUCUAUUCGUAGUAAAGUGGGGGACUUUCGAGCCUCACGCUAUCAGAUGAGCCUGCGUAAGAUUAGCUUGUUGGUAGGGUAAAAGCCUACCAAGGCAACGAUCUUUAGCUGGUCUGAGAGGAUGAUCAGCCACAUCGGGACUGAGACACGGCCCGAACUCCUACGGGAGGCAGCAGUGGGGAAUAUUGGACAAUGGGGGCAACCCUGAUCCAGCAAUACCGCGUGUGUGAAGAAGGCCUGAGGGUUGUAAAGCACUUUCAAUUGUGAAGAAAAGUUAACGGUUAAU